rnacentral:lncRNA from 1 species
AAGCGGGAAAGGUCGGCCCCUAGUCCAGAGUGUUGGAGCUCUUUGGCGUGGUCAGAGCGCGUGCUGGCUUGGCUCACCUUACUAUGAGUACUAUAAUUACUAUGUGUCUGACUUAGUUUCGUGAAGAUUAUUUCACGUCUCUAAAAAUAUGCCAUGCAUCACAUAAAACGGUACGAUAGCAUUUGUUAGGCCCUUUCCUGCGGUAUUACUGUGUACACAACAUCGAUUAGGGCACAGGAACAUUGUCAAGAGAGAUGGACUGAGUGUCCAGCAGUUCUGUCAGACUUGAUGUACACAGAGCAAUCAGAGAAGACCAGCUAAUGAUCAAUAAUGGAAAGGGGCAAGCUGGACAGAGAAAUAGAAAGCAUACAGUUUGCGGAGAAAAGGAACACUAGGAGUGUAAUCAGAGCUAAGUCCAGUGCUCAUGGGAUACAAAAGUUAAAGAAAAGCCUGAGACUAAAAGGAAUAAAGGGAUGGUGACCUCUGGGCAAGACCCCACCCAGCCAAGCACCCAAGCUGUGAAAAGAAAUGAAAGAAAAGCUCAAGCAGUGAAGGAGACCACCAACAGCAGAAGCUGAACCCGAUGUCAGGCAACAGGAGGCCAAGUUCCAGCCCCAGCAAGCAGCAGAACUUGGCAGCUUCCAAGAGUCAAAGACACGAGAGAGGGCUGUGGAAUCUCCCUCCACAAUUAAGGAAAGCCACUGCAGCCAGGCAUGGAGGCCCAGAGAGACCAUUUGUGAAGCUGUGAAAGUGAAACCUGGAUUGUUGGAGACCCCAGGAUACUGGAGAUGCCAGGGUCAUGGGAUAUCUACCUAGGAAAGCUGCAGACCAGGUAUGAAACCCGGUCAAGAGAGAAAAGGAUGUUGCAGUAGAUGAGGCUGAAGGGAGUUGGAGUAUUUCAGCAGUCUCCCAACAUCUUCUAUCUUCCCUGGAGGGAAGCAGGGCUUGAGAGCAUCCUGUGAGCUUGUGAAGGGAAAGGAGGGAAAGGGGAAGCCAAACAGGCAACCCUGGAACAUGAACGUGGUUUUUAUUAUGCAGCACACCUGGUAUCCAUAUCCUAACAGCUUCCAGGAGACGCCACAAAACCUAGUGCAGCCAUUCAGGUUAUACUAAGACAAAAGCUAAGGCUGCAACUCUCAAAAACAAAACAAACAAACAAACAAACAAAAUGGUCCCACUGUAACAAUGCCAUGGAAAGAACCACAUUGCACAAGAAAGGAGGGUACAGAGGCUAAAAUUGGUGUCGAGUAAAUUUUUGUUAUUGCACUUUAUUCUAUACACUUAAUAUGUUACACUUUUAUAUAACACUGUAAUAAACAUUAGUCCUUUAAAACAAAAACAUUACAUAAAGACAAAAAAAAAAAAGCCAACUCCUUCCCCACCCCACCCCACCCCCAAAAAACCCAAAGAACAAAACCCAGCAGGCCAUCCAGACAAUCUUCUUGUCAACUCUCCAGGCUACUUGGUCUGUCCGAUGAUGUCAGGUAUACAUUCUUCACCACCAUGACAAUCACACUAGAUGCUAAUAAAGCACAUGAAGU